AUGAGCGGUUACCUCAUGUAUUGUUACAAGCUGACGAUUAAGCACUUUUUGGCGCACUGCGGUGCGCCUUUUUUUUGUU
rfam:Vibrio cholerae O1 biovar eltor str. N16961 chromosome I, complete sequence.